GGAUAACAUCGAGAAAUUGGUACUAAUACCCCAUAACAUCACCGGAGGCAUCUUCGGUGGUUGAAAACUCAGGUGGUCAGAGAUGGACAUGCGUUGUAUUAGCUAGUUGGUGAGGUAACGGCUCACCAAGGCGACGAUACAUAGGGGGACUGAGAGGUCAACCCCCCACAUUGGUACUGAGACACGGACCAAACUCCUACGGGAGGCAGCAGUGAGGAAUAUUGGUCAAUGGACGCAAGUCUGAACCAGCCAUGCCGCGUGCAGGAAGACGGCUCUAUGAGUUGUAAACCGCUUUUGUACGAGGGUAAAUCCCGAUACGUGUAUCGGGUUGAAAGUAUCGUACGAAUAAGGAUCGGCUAACUCCGUGCCAGCAGCCGCGGUAAUACGGAGGAUUCAAGCGUUAUCCGGAUUUAUUGGGUUUAAAGGGUGCGUAGGCGGUUCGAUAAGUUAGAGGUGAAAUCCCGGGGCUCAACUCCGGCACUGCCUCUGAUACUGUCGGGCUAGAGUUUAGUUGCGGUAGGCGGAAUGUAUGGUGUAGCGGUGAAAUGCAUAGAGAUCAUACAGAACACCGAUUGCGAAGGCAGCUUACCAAACUACGACUGACGUUGAGGCACGAAAGCGUGGGGAGCAAACAGGAUUAGAUACCCUGGUAGUCCACGCAGUAAACGAUGAUAACUGGUUGUCGGCGAUAAAAUGUCGGU
rnacentral:rRNA from 1 species